AUGUUGGUGUUGAAGAAACUUGGUGUUCAACCGGUGGUCUUGGAAAUGGUCGAAUCUUCAAGAUCACCGUACAAGUUUUCUUCAGUAGCUACCAGAGGAAUCUUCAAGAUCACCGUACAAGUUUUCUUCAGUAGCUACCAGAGGAAUCUUCAAGAUCACCGUACAUUUGCUUUAAAUCAUGAGAUCAAAUGCAACUGUGGAUGCCAUUUUCGCAGGGAAACCUCCCGUAUUUGA